AGGACGAACGCUGGCGGCGUGCUUAACACAUGCAAGUCGAGCGGAAAGGCCCUUCGGGGUACUCGAGCGGCGAACGGGUGAGUAACACGUGAGCAACCUGCCCUUAGCUCUGGGAUAGCUCCGGGAAACCGGAAUUAAUACCGGAUACGACCUAGGCCGACAUCGGCCAUGGUGGAAAGUUUUUCGGCUAGGGAUGGACUCGCGGCCUAUCAGCUAGUUGGUGGGGUAAAGGCCUACCAAGGCGACGACGGGUAGCCGGCCUGAGAGGGCGACCGGCCACACUGGGACUGAGACACGGCCCAGACUCCUACGGGAGGCAGCAGUGGGGAAUCUUGCGCAAUGGGCGAAAGCCUGACGCAGCAACGCCGCGUGGAGGACGAAGGCUUUCUGAGUUGUAAACUCCUUUCAGCAGGGACGAUAGUGACGGUACCUGCAGAAGAAGCACCGGCCAACUACGUGCCAGCAGCCGC
rnacentral:rRNA from 1 species